rnacentral:rRNA from 1 species
AUACGUAGGGUGCAAGCGUUAAUCGGAAUUACUGGGCGUAAAGCGUGCGCAGGCGGUUUUGUAAGACAGAGGUGAAAUCCCCGGGCUCAACCUGGGGAUUGCCUUUGUGACUGCAAGGCUAGAGUACGGAAGAGGGGGAUGGAAUUCCGAGUGGAGGGGUGAAAUGCGUAGAUAUGCGGAGGAACACCGAUGGCGAAGGCAAUCCCCUGGGCCUGUACUGACGCUCAUGCACGAAAGCGUGGGGAGCAAACAGGAUUAGAUACCCUGGUAGUCCACGCCCUAAACGAUGUCAACUGGUUGUUGGGUCUUCAUUGACUCAGUAACGAAGCUAACGCGUGAAGUUGACCGCCUGGGGAGUACGGCCGCAAGGUUGAAACUCAAAUGAAUUGACGGGG